GGCGGGAGGGGGGCGCACUCACGGUUGUCCGUGACCUCCAGGCGGACGGCCAGGGUCUCGUAGAGGUGGCAGUAAUGGUGGUGCAGGUUACAGGUGUACAGCCCCUCGUCGGCAUACUCCACCGCUACGACCGGGCAGGAAACCCAGCGGUGAAGUGCAAGGUGGGCCCGCCCAGCCCCUGCGCCCCGCCCCCCUCCCCGGCGCCCCGUCACCGCCCCGGGCUCCUUACCGCGGAUGAGCAGCGAGAAGUUGCCGUCGUGGAAGGCAGAAGGCGGGAGCAGAAGGCGGCCGUGGUCGCGAGGCCCGUACACGCGCUGCUCGCCCGCCGAAUACAUGUCCACGAGUCUGCGAGCCGGGCCGCCGGCGGGGCUGCCGCUGAGGUCCCAGUGGACCACGCGCUGGCGGUCGUGCAGCCGGUCCUGCGUCCACACCAUUCUCGGGCUCUGGCAGCGCAGCACGGCCAGGGCGCCCGCUGCCCAGCUCACGGUGGACUCGGACACUACGGAGCUGGCGGCAGGCAGGGACCCCGAGGGCACUGGUGGGGAGGAGGAGUCACUGGGGGAGGGACAGGACCCAAGGGCAAGGCAUAGGGCGGGUCUGGCAAGUCAGGAGGGGGCCUGUUGUAGUUUCCAGGGGAGGGUGGCCACUAACCUGAGGAGAGAAGGACAGCAGAGCCUAGAAGAAGAAGAGAGUCCUACUGGGGAGGGGUUGACCUGAGCCUUUGCAUCCAGGUCACCCACCCAGCCUGAGCCGACAUGGCUCCCUGGGUCCCCUUACAGCACUUGCUGGGCUGGUGGGGUGGGGCAUGUUAAUGACUCCCUGUUAGCAGGUGGGGAUUGUCAGAGGCUAGCAGAUGAGAUGGGCAAGGGGUCUCCUUUAGCCCCCCAUGGUGCAGGCACGUCUCCCACGGACACCACCUCAUCCCCACAGCCACCUGCCUGGGCCGUGGGACAGCAUUCCCCUUUUGGGGGUGAGUGGUGGAGGCAGCUCUGGAGUAUGUGCUUGUCACCAAGGGCCACCCUCAGGAAUGGUGGCUAGUAUCACCAUCACUGCAGCAAGGCCACCAGAGCCCCAAAGCCUGAUGCUCAAGGCUGGUUUUGAGGGCUCCUGCACCUUGGUAUACAGUGAGGUACACACACCUGCCAAAGCUAUGCCACACAAGCCCUCAAGAGUCCUUGCCCCAGCUGGGCACCCUGCCCCACACCCAGGUCUCACGGCUGGAGCCCCCGCAGCCCCCCUGAAGGGCAGAGGCCUGAGGCUGAGCAGGCUGGACCAUCCGCACCCCCAUAAGCAAGUUUCUGCUUCAGAGAUGGGCUGAGCGCCCGGGACCAGGAGGAAUGUGCCGGCUCAGCGGGCCAGCCCAGGAGGCGGGCUCAGGGGGCCUGGGAGCCAAGUGGGGGCUGGAACAGACCCUGUGAGCCUCACUGUUCCCAGGCCCCCUAGAUCCCCCGACCUACUCCUCUUCUGACCACUAGGACAAGUGGAAGAGUGAGGUGGGCAAGGGACCCCAGGGAGAGGCACCCGCCACCUCAGCCUCCCUGCCUGUCUUAGCCCUCUUGUUCCUGAAUCCGUGUGGUUUCCUGGGUCCUGGGGGGCCCCCGCAUCCUGGUGAGCUGCCAUCUUGAGCCCCCCCAACCCCCGCCCCGCCCCAGCCCCUUCCCAGCAGUGAGGGCGUCCCACUGCUCCACACUCAAGCUCCGACAGGCGGCUUUGCACAGCACACAAAGACCUGGUUGUGCCCCCACUCUGGACCCCCACCCACCCUGCACUCACUGUGUAGAAGCACAAGUUCCCAGAGCAGAACUUGGGACUGCAGCUCCAUGGCGCCUGCCUGGCUCGCUGGCCUCGCUUUGUCUCACUUCUGCUCCAACUCUCCAGAAAAACAGCCCGGCCCCCUCCCCCUCCUUAGCCCCCACCAUGACAUCACAGAGCCCUGGGCGGGGUCAACAGUCUGCAGACCGCCCCCUCUGGCUCCAGCUGGCCCCUAGCCCUCCAGAAAUCCUUGGCUGGCCUUUGGGUGGGUGGGUAGGAACAUGGGCAUGGUGCCCAACAACGUGAGGGGAAUCAGAGCAGAGACCCUGCCCCUUCUCUGGCCCAGGUCCAGGAGGGGUAGGAGGGUGGAGGGCAUGGUCCCAGAUGCUGUGGGGGCAGCUGUGACAUAUGAGGCCCUUGGGGCUGCUGCAGGACUGGGCUCUGGGGUGCACAUCACCUCCCUUCCACUCCUGUCGGGGGACCUUGGCCCAAGGUGUGGGCAGGAUCCUCCCCCUCUGUGCUUGCUAUGGAGCUUGAGGCAUUCCUAACAGAAAGGCCUCCAGGGUUGGGACGCCUAAGGAGCCCAGGUUGCCAGACCUACACCUCUUCCAACUCUUCCCCUUAGCCUCCUCUGGGGGCUGCAUUUCUUUAUUUAUGAAAGGAAAAGAACAGUCACAACACCCCUGGGGGGUGGGGCCCAGGGGGCUCCCUUAGGACAGCAUGAUGGGCCCUGCUGUUGAUCAACAUCUUUACCACCCAGGGGAGCCUGCCAGGGCAUAAGGGUGGGGACCCUGAGCACUUUUGGCAUUUGACCAGCCUCCAGCUCUGGCCUGGACCCCCAUCUGCCCACCAUCCAGGGCAGAGCUUGGUGUCCCUGAAAGCAAAUCCUGGCUAAGACACUCCCUGCCCAGAGUGGAGGGAGGAAGGGAGGUAUGGGAACCUCCCCAACGGAAGGCACAAAUUUGAAGCUCUGGGAAAACUUACAGAGUCACAUAAACAAAUGCAAAAUAACAGAUCAUACACUGCAUACCAAACCCACUCUUUCUAGUUAAGCAAACCUCAAGAAGAAAAAAAAAAAGCAAACAACUACCAAAACCCACAGUGCGUUUUUUAAACUGCCCAUUUGAAUAGAAUUAUGGUCACUGGCCCCCGUCCCUGGUGGGUGGGGAUCUCACCCAUGAACCCUGUCCUGGUCCCCAAUUCCUCAGACCAGCAAGGAACCCAGUCCAGCUGGUCUCCCCAGCUCCAGGCAAGGUGGGGAGACUGUCACAGCUGCAGAGGAAUGAGGGGUCAGGACAGGGAGCGCCAGCCAUGAGGAUGUGAGGAGCCCCCCCCCCGCAAUGGACUCAUUUCCUCAGCAAGACCCAGGCCCUGGGGGUCAGAGCCCCUUUUCCAAACUGGAAUCAGAACUGGUCCUGGUCCCAGCCCCUCCCUGGGCCUUUCAUUCUGGAAAAAACAAGCCCUGCCUGGCUGGCUAUGAGGCCUGGCCUCUCCUCCUGUUUUUUUAACUGGUUUAUAUUAGCUGGUGACCAAUCUUCUCUGUGUCCCGCCCAUGUCUCUCCAUCUCUGUCCUCUGUUCCCGCCUCUGUCUGCUGGGCUGUCUCUCCACAGUGGAGGGAAGAUGUCCAGGCAGUGCUAGAGGGAGGCAGAAAUGGCCCAGCACUGGCCCCUGUCUGGAAGGGGACCAGGGUCAGCUCCCAGCCGAGGAGCCAGGAGCCUGUGGGCGCGCCUCCUCUCCCAGCAGGUUCCCUGGCCUUGGGCCCUGUGAGGCCCUCUCGGGUAGAAACCCAGCCCUCAGCUUGGCCCAGAUGUGUAAGUCUGAGGGGGCCGCCACUGGGGGGCAGCUGACCCCAGUGAACCACUGGGCAAGAAUGGACAGAUGUGGUGCAGGGCUGCAACCCCUCUUGUCCCUCUCUGCCUGAGGCCAGCAAAACCAAAAUGAGCAGCAAAGGCUGCUGUCCCCACCCCUACUCUUGGCAGUUAAUAGCCACAGAUGAGAGUAAAGUUAAAGUUUCAGCAGGCCACCUGCCCCUCCCCUGGCCAAGGCCUGAGACCUCCGACUCUUUCCCAAGUGACUGCCGAUUGCUCAGUUCCCAGUGUCACUCAGCAUCUCUGUUCCUUGGGAAGAGACCACCAGGACAAAGCCACUGACAUCACCAUGGUCACACCCUGAGCUCUGGCCAACCCCCUACCAGACCAGAGCCCUGUACCCACCUCCCCUCUUCUAGGAGGUGUGGCUGGACAAUGCAGGGGCCAGCCAACCAGCCCCACUAAGAAGCAGGUUCUGGCUCCUGUUCCUGGGGACUCGGACAUUCCAGGCAGCCAAGCUCACUGGGAGGAGAAACCACAGGCACUCAGAGAUGCCACCAGACACAGACACGUGCUCGUGCCACUGUUCUGUCAUUCAACAAAUAUUUGCUGAGCACCUAUUGUGUGCCAAGGAACUGGAAGCUAUUGGAGGGAGGCAGACAGAUGGCAGGCCUGCUCUCGGACAAAUAAGAUCAUCUGGAAGAAGUGUUGUCGAGAGACGAAAAUGGCAGGAUCUCCCUCCACAGGACUGAGCUGACGGCCUCUGAUGGAGUAACACCCACAGUGCAGGGCAGGGUGCUGUAACAACCAAAGGACGAGGGGCUGGGAUGUCACUGUCUGAUAGAGUCUCCAUCGUGCUGCCUGGAGUCAACUUCUCCAGCUGGCCAUUCUGUGAAAGAGCCCUUGGAGGGAACAUGUGGGCAGCCCCCAGCCAACAGCCAAGAAGAAACUGGACCUCAGUCUGAUGACAGCAAGGACCUGAUUUCUGCUGCCCCCUAGGAUGGAGUGGAAGGGGACUAGUGCCUCGGGUCCAGACGCAGCCCCGGCAGACACUCAUUUCAUUUGGGAGGCCCUGAGCGGAGGCUCCUGUCUAGGUGUCUGACCCAGGGCAGCUCUGUAAUAAUAAAAGUGUUGCAUUAAGCU